UACGGAGGGUGCAAGCGUUGUUCGGAAUCACUGGGCGUAAAGGGCGUGUAGGCGGUCCGCUAAGUCUGAUGUGAAAGCCCGGGGCUCACCCCCGGAAGGGCAUUGGAAACUGGCGGACUCGAGUCCCGGAGAGGAGGGUGGAAUUCCCGGUGUAGCGGUGAAAUGCGUAGAUAUCGGGAGGAACAUCAGUGGCGAAGGCGGCUACCUGGCCCAAUACUGACACUCAGGUGCGACAGCGUGGGGAGCAAACAGG
rnacentral:rRNA from 1 species